rnacentral:lncRNA from 10 species
GGGAACCCGCGCCCCCUGCCGGUGCCCUCCCCGCCCGGCCCUAGCUCUCUCGCCUUCUCGCCCGCCCGGCGCUGGCCCUGCUGGAUCCUGCGCGCCGGGGACUGGGGGCUGGCAGUGCAGACCGAACCCGGGGCCGAGGGGCUUCUCCACAGAGCCGCCUGGGGCUCGGUGGGGGGCGCUCAGCUCGACCCCAGCUAAGGGAGCACUAGGAAGUGCGGGCGUCCCCUUCCCUGCACCCUUGCGGGGCGGGAACCGUCGACCUAGAAGAAAAAAAAAGCUGAGGCAAACUUGAUAUAAGUAGAGAGGUUAUUUGGGCCAAGUUUGAAGAUUGCAACCCGGGAGCAUAGCUUCAAGUUGCGGGUCCUGACUUUUGUGUUCCUUUCGCAGAGGUGAGGCCAGAGAAGUGACAAGACAGAUGCCAGUCCAGCAGGUGGGCAUGUCCAGAAAGUGCAGCCUCAGGACACGGUCUGGGAACAAAGACUGCUGGAGAGUUGGAAGCUGGCAAGAGGCUCUCAGCUGUGAAGUACCUGGGGGCUUUUAAACGACUUUUUUUCUUUCACAGACAUUUGGCUUCACUUGAACCUGUGUUUGAAGCUUUAGUGAACAUUGUCUUGCUAGAACUUUCUAUUCCUUUUUGUCCAGGUCUCAUGGAACAAGGAAAUCAAAAAAACACCCGCCCGUGCACAAAUGGAUUUCCUGAACCCUUCUGUGCGCCAGUCCUUGGGGACGCAAAUGUGAAUGAGGCGGCGCUCUGUUGAAUUUCCGUGCCCAAACUCACCAACGUGCACAGAUACUGAUGUGGGAACACCCGCUAUAAGGUGGCCUGGAGCAGUGAAGACCCUGCUCUCUUGUGAACUCCCGCAACCAUGGCCAGCCCCCUGGGGCUCCCAGACCUUGGCAAUCAGCCCUUGUGGUUUUUAAAAAAUUUAUUUUUAUUUUUAUUUUUAGAGGCAGGGUCUCAUUAUGUCACCCAGUGAUAUGGUCUGGCUGUGUCCCCACCCAAAUCUCAUCUUUUAUUUUUUUUUUUUUUGAGACGGAGUUUCGCUCUUGUUGCCCAGGCUGGAGUGCAGUGGUGCAAUCUCGGCUCACCGCAACCUCCACUUCCAGGGUUCAAGCGAUUCCCCUGCUUCAGCCUCCCGAGUAGCUGGGAUUAAGGGCGCAGACCACCAUGUCUGGAUAAUUUUUUUUGUAUUUUUAAUAGAGAUGGGGUUUCAUCAUGUUGGCCAGGCUGGUCUUGAACUCCUGACCUCAGGUGAUCCACCCACUUCGGCCUCCCAAAGUGCUGGGAUUAUAGGUGUGAGCCACCGUGCCCAGCCCCAAAUCUCAUCUUGAAUUGUACUCCCAUAAUUCCCACAUGUUGUGGGAGGGACCCAGUGGGAGAUAAUUGAAUCAUAGGGGUGGUUUCCCCUGUACUGUUCUUGUGGUAGUGAAUAAGUCUCAUGAGAUCUGAUGGUUUUAGAAGAGCUUUCCGCAUUCUCUCUUGCAGCUGCCGUGUGAGAUGUGCCUUCUGUCAUGAUUGUGAGGCCUCCCCAGUGAGCCCAUUAAACCUCUUUUUCUUCCCAGUCUUGAGUAUGUCUUUAUCUGAAGCAUGAAAACGGACUAAUAUACCCAGGUUGGAGUGCAGUGGCGCCAUCUUGACUUACUGCAGCCUUGACCUCCAGCUUUCAAACGAUCCUCCUCCCUUGGCCUCCCAAAGUGUUGGGGUCACAGGUGUGAACCACCAUGUCCAGCCAGCCCUUGGGUUUUGAGAUGCUCAAGUUACAGGUGAGAAGUGC